CCAAUAGCGUAUAUUAGUGUUGUUGCGGUUAAAAAGCUCGUAGUUGAAUUUCGGGAUUGGGAUAUAUCGGUCGUGCCCUUAGGGGCAUGAAUCGGUGUGUGGCCAAUUCUCACUUUCUGGUGAAUUGGGAUGCUCUCGGGUGUUUCAAUGAACUAGGACUUUUACUUUGAAAAAAUUAGAGUGUUUAAAGCGGGCAUUUUUGCUUGAAUACGUUAGCAUGGAAUAAUAAAAUAGGACGAUGGUUCUAUUUUGUUGGUUUUAGGACCACGUAAUGAUUAAUAGGGAUAGUUGGGGGCAUUAGUAUUCAAUUGUCAGAGGUGAAAUUCUUGGAUUUAUUGAGGACUAACUACUGCGAAAGCAUUUGCCAAGGAUGUUUUCAUUAAUCAAGAACGAAAGUUAGGGGAUCAAAGACGAUUUAUGUACGUCGUAGUCUUAACCAUAAACUAUGCCGACUAGGAAUCAGACAAAGUUAAUUUUUUAACGACUUGUUUGGUACCUUACG
rnacentral:rRNA from 1 species